rnacentral:rRNA from 1 species
GCUAUGGUGGAAGCGUGGCAUUACGGCUCAGUAACACGUGGCCAAUUCACCCUCGGGACAGAGACAACCCCGGGAAACUGGGGCUAAUCCCAGAUAGCGACCAAGCCUGGAAUGGCUAGUCACCCAAAAGCCUCCUAACCAUGCUCAAAGAGGCGCCCAAGGACAAAGCCGCGACCGAUCAGGCUGUUGGUAGGCAACGGCCUACCAAACCCAUAACCGGUACGGGCCGUGAGAGCGGAAGCCCGGAGAUGGAUACUGAGACAAGGAUCCAGCUCUACGGAGCGCAGCAGUUGCGAAAACUCCACAAUGCACGAAAGUGUGAUGGGGCUACCCCGAGUGCCGUCCGCUGAGGAUGGCUUUUCUCUGCUGUAAGGAGGCAGAGGAAUAAGGAGAGGGCAAGUCUGGUGUCAGCCGCCGCGGUAAUACCAGCUCUCCGGGUGGUAGGGAUGAUUAUUGGGCUUAAGCGUCCGUAGCCGGCUGGACAAAGUCUUCUGUUAAUCCAGCAACCCAAUUGUUGCGCACUGCGGGAGAUACUGCCUAGCUAGAGAACGGGAGAAGCCGACGGUACUCUCAGGGUAGAGUGAAAUCCUAUAAUCCUGGGAGGACCACCAGUGGCGUAUGCUGUCGGCUAGAACGUGUCUGACGGUGAGGGACGAAAGCUUGGGGAGCGAACCGGAUUAGAUACCCGGGUAGUCCAAGCUGUAAACGAUGCGGGCUACGUGUUGGGGUGGCUACGUGCCACUUCAGUGCCGCAGGAACCGUCUAAAGCCCGCCGCACUGGGGAGUACGGUCGCA